rnacentral:rRNA from 1 species
AUGACUGCUCUUAUCGGUAUGGCUCCUACCGAGGAGGGAGGACAAGAGAAGAAGAAGAAGGAAAGGAAAGCAGACAGAGCUGCUUUCUCAUGGAUUCAAGCAAACUUUGCUCAUUUCCCCGUGGAUGCCACUGAUGAUGUGAUCCAGACAGAUGCUCGUGUCUAUAUGUGGUACGUUAUCUCGAGGACUUUCUUUUCCGACGCCACAGGCAAGAACACUCCAUGGAUGUGGCUGAAGGCGUUGGCCAUCUUUGAUAGCAGAUGGAGUUGGGGUUCAUCGACUCUUGCCUACUUGUACCGACAGGUAGUUGGUUUGUUUUGUUAUCAAUUCAUUUCUUCAUUAGUAAUGCAACCUUGCUGUUAA